CUGCUUGUAGCUCAGCUUGGUAGAGCGCCCGCUUUGGGAGCGGGAGGUCGCAGGUUCAAAUCCUGCUUGGCAGAC
rnacentral:tRNA from 1 species